GCAGCAGGGGUUCAGAUAAAAAAUCGGCAGCUGGCAGCAGGAAGUGGCUGCCAUUGACAGCCGGAAGGCAGUAACUGACAGCCGGAAGGCAGUAACUGUCAGCCGGAUGGUAGGCGGGACCUGCCAUUCGGUGGAAGCCAAUCAGUAUCGACCAACGUGGGCGCAACCAAUCAGAUAUAACUGCACCCAAACGCUUCAGUAAUGGUUGCGAUUGAUCAAACGUUGCCAGAUGCUGUCCUGUUGAAAAUUCUUCUUUACGUGAUCCUGGAGGAGGGGUGAUGCUACAUUACGAAGUCCGUCUUUGGUUUGUUCCAAAUUCAGAAGUCUGCUGUACUGUAUACAGACUCCUUUCGAAAGAGGGCACAAUCCAGCUGGCUUGACUGAGUAUCUUCUUUUACAGAUUUGAUUAGAGGUUUAAAAAGGUGGAACAAAAUGGAGAACAAGUCUAAGCCAUGUCAGGAAUUCAACAAAAUGUACACCCUGCAGACACUGCGACGAGGUUUACAACAACUGCUUACCAGGUCACUGCAGUCACCCGGAUCCAGUACGUAUCCAGACCAGAUGGUGGAUCGCACCUAGAAAGGACCUCUACAGCCCUGAAAGACAGCGGAGACCAGGACAACUAGAGCCCCAGAUACAGAUCCCCUGUAAAGACCUUGUUUUUUUUCUCCAUUUUGUCACCGGUGGAGUUUUGGUUCCUUGUCGCCUCUGGCUUGCUUCGUUGUGGUCAUUCAUUUACAGUGAUAUCAUUGACAUGAUUGCAAAUGAUUCCACAGAUACUAUUUAAACUGAACCGAGCUCAAGGAUGACAUCACUGAACUGAAUGAUAAACUGCCUUUUAAACUGACUACAAACUGAGUUUACUAAUGUCCUUCUGCAUUAUUGACUGACACACUAUUUUCCUAUUUAAUACUGUAAAGUUGCUUUGCUUUGAGCUGUAUUAUUAAAAGCACUAUAUAAAUAAACGAUGCUUGACUUGA